AUUGAACGCUGGCGGAAUGCUUUACACAUGCAAGUCGAGCGGCAGCACGGGGGCAACCCUGGUGGCGAGCGGCGAACGGGUGAGUAAUACAUCGGAACAUGCCCAGUCGUGGGGGAUAACACUUCGAAAGAAGUGCUAAUACCGCAUACGUCCUGAGGGAGAAAGCGGGGGAUCUUCGGACCUCGCGCGAUUGGAGUGGCCGAUGUCAGAUUAGCUAGUUGGUGGGGUAAAGGCCUACCAAGGCAACGAUCUGUAGCUGGUCUGAGAGGAUGAACAGCCACACUGGGACUGAGACACGGCGCAGACGCCUGCGGGAGGAAGCGGUGGGGAAGUUGGGACAAUGGGGGCAACCCUGAUCGAGCCCGACCGCGUGAGUGAAGAAGGCCUUCGGGUUGUAAAGCUCUUUCGGCAGGAACGAAACGGCGAGCUCUAACAUAGCUUGCUAAUGACGGUACCUGAAGAAGAAGCACCGGCUAACUACGUGCCAGCCGCCGCAGUAAUAC
rnacentral:rRNA from 1 species